GUCUUGCGGGGUUGUUCCGUGUUUUUCUGUGCCCCGAUUGUGUUGGGGCGCGCGGUGGUGGGCUUUGUGGCGGGGGCAAGGCGUGGCUUGCUCGGAUGCGCUGGGGGCUUCGAUCCCCCAACGACGUGGAACGCCUCGGUUUGUGGUUUCCAAGGGCCCGGUGCACCGGUUCACUUUUGGGAAGCAAAGCAGCCCCUACCCCCACGAAUCCCGAAUCACUUCUGUGCCGGUGGCUGGGGGGAGGUGCCUGCAACAUCGGAAAGCCAGAGUGAUUCAUCGCUACUCAUGUCUGCGGUCGGGUCCUGGAUGGCUUUGCGUCGGGGUGGCGUGCGACAGUGGGGGCGGUUUCGCCAUUUAUGUGAUGGGCAGCGUGCAAGCGAGACUCGAACGUACCCAACCCAGCCCGUACACUUUCCGCUACUGUGAGGAGCCUGCGCCACCCCGAGGGGGAUACCCUGGGACUGGCGACAAACAUGGUGGGGGAGCAGUUAAAAGGUGACCCGCGGGGCGGUGUUUUGAGUGUGCGGCGGGGGUCGUGCCCAGAUGAUUGGGGGAGGGAGCUCUUUUACUCUAAUACGCGUGUUCACGGCUACUUCGCACCACGCGGUGGGGCGUGCGGCGGGACGGGGGCAGGCUCGUGCCCUAUGGCGGUGGGUGGGCGCGAUGAAAGGGUAGCUUGGACGAUGUUGUGCGUGCCGCGGCCUCGGGCAGCAAGACGCCUUCCGUCGGGUGUUGAAUCUUAGUGUGUGGCGCGGUGUGCUGUGGCAUGCUUCCGAGUGAGACGAUGCUCGAGAGCAGUAGGCUUUGCACAGGAGUUUGAUAGGACAGCGCAUUUGAAGGGAACCUCCGUUCCACUUUUCGAUGUUAGCGUCGAAGUAGCAAAUGGUGGUGGUUACUGUCUUCGGCGGUUUCGUCUGCAGGCUAAAAGGCAUGUGGGGGGGGGGGACUGGCAGCCAAGUGGGGAAGAUGGAAUGCUUCGAAAGGUCACGACGAAGUAACACGGGGCUGUGGAAACAAAGCAGUUGGCCCAGAACGCCGCGAGUAGGCGCUUCGGGUCAGAAGCACUCGUGAGCAAGAGACGGAUGCAGGUUAUCUCCCGUGAGACUUCGAAGGAGCUACUGCGGACACAAAGGAUGUCGAAGCUGAAAUCCUCACACAACUCUCCCUCGUGUUUACAAUGGCUGCAUGCAUUGAUCGGUAAGGGCGGGCAAUUCUUAAGAUUAUUCGUGCGUCUUGAAGCGCUUGGUGUGUUGAGUGAUUAUCAGAGAAAAAGGUGGUAGGGAGGGCGUUUUGUUGCUAAAGUGUAUCUCUGUGAAGGGGAUUACAUCUAAUCACGAGAUUUUAAUCGCAUCCACGCCGUGCUGCUCAACUCGAAUUCUUGCACGCUUUUGCUUUUCCCGGCUUUCACUUUCGCAUUCUCACGCGCUGCGAGAUGGUCUGUGAAGGGUGGUAAACGCGCCUGCGGUCGUUUAUGUGCCGUCUUCGGUCGCUUUCCCUCCGAUUGUUAUCAUCCUUGUACUCGCAGUCACCAAUACGAUUACUUAUGCUUGGAAUCUCUUGUAUUUCUGGUUGUCAAUUAG
rnacentral:misc_RNA from 1 species